UCACACCUUGAAAUUGUAAAAUAGAUAAGAGUUGGGAUGGGCAAUCCCACUUCUGGGAAACACUCUAGCUCAUGACAGUCUUUUAUUUCUAAGUAAGUUAGAUGCAAAAGCCUAUCACUUUGCAACUCUAACAAUUGUUUUGUGCAAAAGCAAAUUGUAAGAGUUCUAAAUGAAUCAGGGAACUUGCCAAUCGGAUAGGACAUGUGAGAUGAACAUCCUUCAA
rnacentral:misc_RNA from 1 species